rnacentral:rRNA from 1 species
UACGUAGGGUGCAAGCGUUGUCCGGAAUUAUUGGGCGUAAAGAGCUCGUAGGCGGUUUGUCGCGUCGAAUGUGAAAACCCGGGGCUCAACCCCGGGCCUGCAUUCGAUACGGGCAGACUAGAGUUCGGUAGGGGAGUCUGGAAUUCCUGGUGUAGCGGUGAAAUGCGCAGAUAUCGGGAAGAACACCCGUGGCGAAGGCGGCACUCUGGGACGGUACUGACGCUGAGACGCGAAAGCGUGGGGAGCGAACAGG